rnacentral:misc_RNA from 1 species
CAGAGUUGAAAAACUCCCUAACCCUUUGUUUACAUACCUGUUCAGUUGCUUCGGCAGGCGGCCCCAGGGCGGGGCCUCCAGCCUGCUCACGCAGGUGCCUGCCGCUGGCGCAAAAAAAACUCUUGUUAUAUAUUACCACUCUGAGUCUAAAAACAAAUGAAUCA